CCCAAGAGGAGCAUUCUGUGCUUAAACACGGCUGAGAGCACAGCGUGCCAGGUCCUCCCCGCAGAAGCGUGGGCUUAGGGCGUCUGUGCAGGGACCUGCGUGGGGAGGACGGAGCCGGCGAGAUGCUCACGGCCCGGGUUGAAGUCCAUCUUCCGACCUCGUGUUAGAUCUCACAGAUGCCUGCCAUUGGCCAUCAGAAUUACACACAAAGCAUCAGGACUGGGAAAAUAAAUCAAGUCUUGUCACACUCGAGGUGAGUCAGUCUCAUUAUCUUCACAUUCUGU
rnacentral:lncRNA from 1 species